GCUUCGGUUCCGGUUUGCGCCGGAUGAAAAGGGAACGCUGGUGCGUGCCCUUCGCCAUCUGGCGAAAGGUGCAAAUCCGCGGCUGCCCCCGCAACUGUAAGCGGUGAGCGAUGGCCCUCCAUGCCACUGGACGCAGUCCGGGAAGGCGGCCAAAGCGAUGAUCCGCAAGCCAGGAGACCUGCCGGUGCG
rnacentral:ncRNA from 1 species